AGCAGCCGCGGUGAUUCCAGCUCCAAUGGCGUAUAUUAAAGUUGUUGCAGUUAAAAAGCUCGUAGUUGAAUUUCGGGAUCAGCGCGUCGGUCGUGCCUCCGGUAUGCACUGGCGUCGCUGCUUUCUCCCUUCUGAGGAACCGUGAUGUCAUUAAUUUGGUGUCGCGGGAAAUCAGGACUGUUACUUUGAAAAAAUUAGAGUGUUUAAAGCGGGCACGCGCUUGAAUACAUUAGCAUGGAAUAACGAAAUAGGACAUUCGAUCUUAUUUUGUUGGUUUCUAGGAUUGACGUAAUGAUUAAUAGGGAUAGUUGGGGGCAUUAGUAUUCAAUUGUCAGAGGUGAAAUUCUUGGAUUUAU
rnacentral:rRNA from 1 species